rnacentral:tRNA from 1 species
GCCGUAGAAGCCUUGUGGGUGAGGCGUCAGGUUUCCACCCUGGAGAACCGGGUUCGACUCCCGGCUACGGCU